UAUAUACUCCCUCCGUUCCUAAAUACUUGUCGUGGUUUUAGUGAAAUUGUUCACUAAAACCAAAUUUCACUAAAACCACGACAAGUAUUUAGGAUCGGAGGGAGUAUAUU
rnacentral:pre_miRNA from 1 species